AAAGUUUUAAGUUAAUAAAACUAAUAAUUUUCAAAAUUAUUUAUAAAAUAAAUUUUAAGCUUUA
rnacentral:tRNA from 1 species